rnacentral:rRNA from 1 species
AUUGAACGCUGGCGGCAUGCCUUACACAUGCAAGUCGAACGGCAGCACGGGAGCUUGCUCCUGGUGGCGAGUGGCGAACGGGUGAGUAAUACAUCGGAACGUACCCUGAAGUGGGGGAUAACGUAGCGAAAGUUACGCUAAUACCGCAUAUUCUGUGAGCAGGAAAGAGGGGGAUCGCAAGACCUCUUGCUUUAGGAGCGGCCGAUGUCGGAUUAGCUAGUUGGUGAGGUAAAGGCUCACCAAGGCGACGAUCCGUAGCGGGUCUGAGAGGAUGAUCCGCCACACUGGGACUGAGACACGGCCCAGACUCCUACGGGAGGCAGCAGUGGGGAAUUUUGGACAAUGGGCGAAAGCCUGAUCCAGCCAUUCCGCGUGCAGGAUGAAGGCCCUCGGGUUGUAAACUGCUUUUGUACGGAACGAAACGGCUCUGGUUAAUACCUGGGGCUAAUGACGGUACCGUAAGAAUAAGCACCGGCUAACUACGUGCCAGCAGCCGCGGUAAU